rnacentral:rRNA from 1 species
AUGGCUCUCUGUUUUAGGUUGUAUAGAGAGUCUGACCUGCCCCAGUGAAUAAUUUUUAACGGCCGCGGUACUCUGACCGUGCGAAGGUAGCAUAAUCAUUUGUCUUAUAAUUGAAGUCUAGUAUGAAUGGUUUGACAAGAGUGUAGCUGUCUCUUUUUAAUUUUUUAGAAUUUUAUUUUUGAGUUAAAAAGCUUAAAUAGUAUUAAAAGACAAGAAGACCCUAUCGAGCUUUAAAAAAUUUUAGAGGUAUAAGAUAUUAAUAUAAAGUUUACUAUAAAGUAUUUUGGUUGGGGCGACUAAGGAACAUAAAAAGCUUCCUUUAAUUAUUUUUACUCACAGGUAAUGAUCCAAUUUUUUUGAUUAAAGAAAUUAGUUACCGUAGGGAUAACAGCAUUAUCUUUUUUGAGAGUUCAUAUCGAAAAAAAGGAUUGUGACCUCGAUGUUGGACCAGAAUUUCCUAAAGGUGUAGCAGUCUUUGAGGGUUGGUCUGUUCGACCAUUAAAAUUCUACGUGAUCUGAGUUAAGACCGGUGUAAGCCAGGUCAGUUUCUAUCUUUUAUUAUUUAGGUAUAAAAUUAGUACGAAAGGACCAUUUUAUUUUAUUAUAUAAUUUUUUUAUGAUUAAGUUUAAUUAAGUAUUAUUAAAUUAGCAAACUUAAUGCGAUUGACUUAGGCUCAAGAGAAAUAGGUGUAAGUCCUUUAUUUGGUAUAAGAUAAAGAUGGCAGAUUAAGUGC